rnacentral:rRNA from 1 species
UUCCAGACUCCUACGGGAGGCAGCAGUGAGGAAUAUUGGUCAAUGGGCGAGAGCCUGAACCAGCCAAGUCGCGUGAGGGAAGACGGUCCUAUGGAUUGUAAACCUCUUUUGUCGGGGAGCAAAAAGGCCUCGUGAGGCCACAAGUGAGAGUACCCGAAGAAAAAGCAUCGGCUAACUCCGUGCCAGCAGCCGCGGUAAUACGGAGGAUGCGAGCGUUAUCCGGAUUUAUUGGGUUUAAAGGGUGCGUAGGCGGGACGGUAAGUCAGCGGUAAAAAUGCGGAGCUCAACUCCGUCGAGCCGUUGAAACUGCCGUUCUUGAGUGAGCGAGAAGUAUGCGGAAUGCGUGGUGUAGCGGUGAAAUGCAUAGAUAUCACGCAGAACUCCGAUUGCGAAGGCAGCAUACCGGCGCUCAACUGACGCUGAAGCACGAAGGCGUGGGUAUCGAACAGGAUUAGAUACCCGAGUA